CCUACGGGGCGCAGCAGUGGGGAAUAUUGCGCAAUGGACGAAAGUCUGACGCAGCGACGCCGCGUGAGGGAUGAAGGUUUUCGGAUCGUAAACCUCUGUCAGGAGGGAAGAAAGCGCAUGGCGCCAAUCAGCCAUGCGUUGACGGUACCUCCAAAGGAAGCGCCGGCUAACUCCGUGCCAGCAGCCGCGGUAAUACGGAGGAUGCGAGCGUUAUCCGGAUUUAUUGGGUUUAAAGGGUGCGCAGGCGGGAGAUCAAGUCAGCGGUAAAAUGUCGGGGCUCAACCCCGGGCGGCCG
rnacentral:rRNA from 1 species